rnacentral:rRNA from 1 species
UACGAAGGGGGCUAGCGUUGCUCGGAAUUACUGGGCGUAAAGGGAGCGUAGGCGGAUAGUUUAGUCAGAGGUGAAAGCCCAGGGCUUAACCUUGGAACUGCCUUUGAUACUGGCUAUCUUGAGUACGGGAGAGGUGAGUGGAACUCCGAGUGUAGAGGUGAAAUUCGUAGAUAUUCGCAAGAACACCAGUGGCGAAGGCGGCUCACUGGCCCGAUACUGACGCUGAUGCACGAAAGCGUGGGGAGCAAACAGG